rnacentral:tRNA from 1 species
GGUUGUGGCUCAGUGGUAGAGUGCUCAUCUCACAUGUGUAAGGCACUGGGUUCGAUCCUUAGCACCA